GGUGGAUAUCUUGGCAGUAAGAGGCGACGAAGGACGCGUAUUAGACUGCGAAAUGCUUCGGGGAGCCGUCAAAUAGGCUUUGAUCCGGAGGUGUCCGAAUGGGGAAACCCUGCUACUGGAGACAGUAGUAACGGCAUGGUGAGUAAAGUAGCCAUGUGCGAGCGAACCGAGGGAACUGAAACAUCUAAGUACCUCGAGGAAGAUAAAUCAACCGAGAUUCCGCUAGUAGCGGCGAGCGAACGCGGACUAGGCCAAACCAGUAUGCUUGCAUGCUGGGGUUGUAGGACUUACAUCAAGGGGAAACUGGUAAGGGAACGAUCUGGGAAGGUCGACCAUAGAGAGUGAAAGUCUCGUACUUAAAACUGGUAGAACUGGGUAAGUAUCCUGAGUAGGACGGGACACGAGAAAUCUUGUCUGAAUCUGGGGGGACCACCCUCCAAGCCUAAAUACUCGUACAUGACCGAUAGCGAACUAAGUACCGUGAGGGAAAGGUGAAAAGCCCCCCGACGAGGGGAGUGAAACAGUACCUGAAACCGAACGCCUACAAUCAGUCGGAGCUCCCUUGAGGAGUGACGGCGUACCUUUUGUAUAAUGGGUCAUCGACUUGGUC
rnacentral:rRNA from 1 species